rnacentral:rRNA from 1 species
UGGGGAAUAUUGCGCAAUGGGCGAAAGCCUGACGCAGCGACGCCGCGUGAGGGAUGAAGGUUUUCGGAUCGUAAACCUCUGUCAGAAGGUAAGAAACCGCACUGUGCUAAUCAGCAGUGCCUUGACGGUACCUUCAAAGGAAGCACCGGCUAACUCCGUGCCAGCAGCCGCGGUAAUACGGAGGGUGCAAGCGUUAAUCGGAAUUACUGGGCGUAAAGCGCACGUAGGCUGCUUUGUAAGUCAGGGGUGAAAUCCCACGGCUCAACCGUGGAACUGCCUUUGAUACUGCUUAGCUUGAAUCCGGGAGAGGGUGGCGGAAUUCCAGGUGUAGGAGUGAAAUCCGUAGAUAUCUGGAGGAACAUCAGUGGCGAAGGCGGCCACCUGGACCGGUAUUGACGCUGAGGUGCGAAAGCGUGGGGAGCAAACAGG